GGCUUGGUGGCAUAAUGGUAACGCGCUCCGUUAUAUUGGUCGAUGGAAGGUUCGGAGUUCGAUUCUCCGUCAAGCCA